GGCGCCGUAGCCAAGUGGCUAAGGCAGCGGAUUGCAAAUCCGCCAUUCGCCGGUUCGAAUCCGGCCGGCGCCUCCA
rnacentral:tRNA from 1 species